UACGUAGGGUGCGAGCGUUGUCCGGAAUUAUUGGGCGUAAAGGGCUCGUAGGCGGCUUGGCAAGUCGGGUGUGAAACCUCCAGGCUCAACCUGGAGACGCCACUCGAUACUGCUAUGGCUAGAGUCCGGUAGGGGACCACGGAAUUCCUGGUGUAGCGGUGAAAUGCGCAGAUAUCAGGAGGAACACCGGUGGCGAAGGCGGUGGUCUGGGCCGGCACUGACGCUGAGGAGCGAAAGCGUGGGUAGCAAACAGG
rnacentral:rRNA from 1 species